rnacentral:rRNA from 1 species
AUGAGCGACAUAUUCAACAUCAAAGAUCUCUCGCCCUACCAUGGUGAUGAGGAUUUCGAUCCGAGGUCGGAUCUUUCCCAAUGGAGGGGAGAUGAUGCGGAGCAUCCCAAGGUCAUCCCCACAGACCUACCAUCGUCUCACCAAGUGCCAAAUGGACCCAUGACUCGAGCACGUGCAAGAGCUCUCGAAACCGAGGUGACAUCUCUCAUCUCACAAUUCCACUUCGAUGAACAUGAGACAUGGCUACUACCUCAAAUGGAGACAUUGUGCAUACUCAGAUAUCAAGGAGUUAGCCAUGGAGACGCUCAGGAGCAAGGAGAAUCCAAAGAGGAAGUUGGACGUGAAGACGGAGAAGAAGAAGGGCAAAGUCAGCAGAAGCCCGGACGAUCCGGACCGUCGCCGAACGAUCCGGCUACCGGCCCAGACGAUCCGGCUACCACGCCCAAAGACAACCGAAGCUUCACCCUGAAGCCGGAUCAUCCAGACCCAGGCCCGGGUCAUCCGGCUACACCCGAACAUCCGGACCAGGCCCUGGACAUCCGGACCCAAGCCCGGAUCAUCCGGCUACACCCGAACAUCCGGACCAGGCCCCGGACAUCCGGACCCUCCGCGGCGGCCACGACACAGCCGGAUCAUCCAGACGCCGACCCGGAUCAUCUAGGCUCCCGAAGGCCGGAUCAUCCGGACAGUGCCUGCGUGCAUGAUGUUGGGCCGAGGCCCAUGUACCCCUUCGCCCCCCAAAUUCUAUAUAUAUGA